GACAGAGGAUGCAAGCGUUAUCCGGAAUGAUUGGGCGUAAAGCGUCUGUAGGUGGCUUUUUAAGUCUGCCGUCAAAUCCCAGGGCUUAACCCUGGACAGGCGGUGGAAACUACCAAGCUGGAGUACGGUAGGGGCAGAGGGAAUUUCCGGUGGAGCGGUGAAAGUGCGUAGAGAUCGGAAAGAACACCAACGGCGAAGGCACUCUGCUGGGCCGACACUGACACUGAGAGACGAAAGCUAGGGGAGCGAAUGGG
rnacentral:rRNA from 1 species